CAGGCCCUACGGGGCGCAGCAGGCGCGAAAACUUUACAAUGCGGGAAACCGUGAUAAGGGGACACCGAGUGCCAGCAUCAUAUGCUGGCUGUCCAGAUGUGUAAAAUACAUCUGUUAGCAAGGGCCGGGCAAGACCGGUGCCAGCCGCCGCGGUAACACCGGCGGCCCGAGUGGUGAUCGUGAUUAUUGGGUCUAAAGGGUCCGUAGCCGGUUUGGUCAGUCCUCCGGGAAAUCUGAUGGCUCAACCAUUAGGCUUUCGGGGGAUACUGCCAGGCUUGGAACCGGGAGAGGUAAGAGGUACUACAGGGGUAGGAGUGAAAUCUUGUAAUCCCUGUGAGACCACCUGUGGCGAAGGCGUCUUACCAGAACGGGUUCGACGGUGAGGGACGAAAGCUGGGGGCACGAACCGGAUUAGAUACCCGGGUAGCCCCAGCCGUAAACGAUGCUCGCUAGGUGUCAGGCAUGGCGCGACCGUGUCUGGUGCCGCAGGGAAGCCGUGAAGCGAGCCACCUGGGAAGUACGGCCGCAAGGCUGAAACUUAAAGGAAUUGGCGGGGGAGCACAACAACGGGUGGAGCCUGCGGUUUAAUUGGACUCAACGCCGGACAACUCACCGGGGACGACAGCAAUAUGUAGGCC
rnacentral:rRNA from 1 species